AGAGUUUGAUCCUGGCUCAGAUUGAACGCUGGCGGCAUGCCUUACACAUGCAAGUCGAACGGCAGCACGAGAGCUUGCUCUUGGUGGCGAGUGGCGAACGGGUGAGUAAUAUAUCGGAACGUACCCUAGAGUGGGGGAUAACGUAGCGAAAGUUACGCUAAUACCGCAUACGAUCUACGGAUGAAAGUGGGGGAUCGCAAGACCUCAUGCUCAUGGAGCGGCCGAUAUCUGAUUAGCUAGUUGGUGGGGUAAAAGCUCACCAAGGCGACGAUCAGUAGCUGGUCUGAGAGGACGACCAGCCACACUGGAACUGAGACACGGUCCAGACUCCUACGGGAGGCAGCAGUGGGGAAUUUUGGACAAUGGGCGCAAGCCUGAUCCAGCAAUGCCGCGUGAGUGAAGAAGGCCUUCGGGUUGUAAAGCUCUUUUGUCAGGGAAGAAACGGUGGACUCUAAUACAGAUCACUAAUGACGGUACCUGAAGAAUAAGCACCGGCUAACUACGUGCCAGCAGCCGCGGUAAUACGUAGGGUGCAAGCGUUAAUCGGAAUUACUGGGCGUAAAGCGUGCGCAGGCGGUUGAGCAAGACAGAUGUGAAAUCCCCGGGCUCAACCUGGGAAUUGCAUUUGUGACUGCACGGCUAGAGUGUGUCAGAGGGGGGUAGAAUUCCACGUGUAGCAGUGAAAUGCGUAGAGAUGUGGAGGAAUACCGAUGGCGAAGGCAGCCCCCUGGGAUAACACUGACGCUCAUGCACGAAAGCGUGGGGAGCAAACAGGAUUAGAUACCCUGGUAGUCCACGCCCUAAACGAUGUCUACUAGUUGUCGGGUCUUAAUUGACUUGGUAACGCAGCUAACGCGUGAAGUAGACCGCCUGGGGAGUACGGUCGCAAGAUUAAAACUCAAAGGAAUUGACGGGGACCCGCACAAGCGGUGGAUGAUGUGGAUUAAUUCGAUGCAACGCGAAAAACCUUACCUACCCUUGACAUGCCUGGAAUCCUUGAGAGAUCAGGGAGUGCUCGAAAGAGAAUCAGAACACAGGUGCUGCAUGGCUGUCGUCAGCUCGUGUCGUGAGAUGUUGGGUUAAGUCCCGCAACGAGCGCAACCCUUGUCAUUAGUUGCUACGAAAGGGCACUCUAAUGAGACUGCCGGUGACAAACCGGAGGAAGGUGGGGAUGACGUCAAGUCCUCAUGGCCCUUAUGGGUAGGGCUUCACACGUCAUACAAUGGUACAUACAGAGGGCCGCCAACCCGCGAGGGGGAGCUAAUCCCAGAAAGUGUAUCGUAGUCCGGAUUGUAGUCUGCAACUCGACUACAUGAAGUUGGAAUCGCUAGUAAUCGCGGAUCAGCAUGUCGCGGUGAAUACGUUCCCGGGUCUUGUACACACCGCCCGUCACACCAUGGGAGCGGGUUUCACCAGAAGUGGGUAGCCUAACCGCAAGGAGGGCGCUCACCACGGUGGGAUUCGUGACUGGGGUGAAGUCGUAACAAGGUA
rnacentral:rRNA from 1 species